GAUGAACGCUAGCGGCAGGCCUAACACAUGCAAGUCGAACGGUAACAUAAGAGCUUGCUCUUGAUGACGAGUGGCGCACGGGUGAGUAACGCGUAUGCAAUCUACCUAUAACUGAGGAAUAGCCCAGAGAAAUUUGGAUUAAAACCUCAUAAUAUUAUUAUUUGGCAUCAUUUAAUAAUUAAAACUCCGGUGGUUAUGGAUGAGCAUGCGUUCUAUUAGUUUGUUGGUGAGGUAAGAGCUCACCAAGACUACGAUAGAUAGGGGGCCUGAAAGGGUGAUCCCCCACACUGGUACUGAGACACGGACCAGACUCCUACGGGAGGCAGCAGUGAGGAAUAUUGCACAAUGGAGGAAACUCUGAUGCAGCCAUGCCGCGUGCAGGACGACGGCCCUAUGGGUUGUAAACUGCUUUUUUACAAGAAGAAACCUUGGUACGUGUACCAACUUGACGGUAUUGUAAGAAUAAGCACCGGCUAACUCCGUGCCAGCAGCCGCGGUAAUACGGAGGGUGCAAGCGUUAUCCGGAUUUAUUAGGUUUAAAGGGUUCGCAGGCGGAAUUUUAAGUCAGUGGUGAAAGCCUACAGCUCAACUGUAGAACUGCCAUUGAAACUGAUGUUCUUGAGUAUAGAUGAAGUGGGCGGAAUAUGUCAUGUAGCGGUGAAAUGCAUAGAUAUGACAUGGAACACCAAUUGCGAAGGCAGCUCACUAAACUAUUGCUGACGCUCAUGAACGAAAGCGUGGGGAGCGAACAGGAUUAGAUACCCUGGUAGUCCACGCCGUAAACUAUGAUCACUAGAUGUUGGCGAUAUAUUGUCAGUGUUUUAGAGAAAUCGUUAAGUGAUCCACCUGGGGAGUACGUUCGCAAGAAUGAAACUCAAAGGAAUUGACGGGGGCCCGCACAAGCGGAGGAACAUGUGGUUUAAUUCGAUGAUACGCGAGGAACCUUACCAAGGCUUAAAUGUAGAUUGACAGAUUGUGAAAACAGUUUUUCUUCGGACAAUUUACAAGGUGCUGCAUGGUUGUCGUCAGCUCGUGCCGUGAGGUGUCGGGUUAAGUCCCAUAACGAGCGCAACCCCUAUUUUUAGUUACCAGCGAGUAAUGUCGGGAACUCUAGAAAGACUGCCUGUGUAAACAGUGAGGAAGGUGGGGAUGACGUCAAAUCAUCACGGCCCUUAUGUCUUGGGCUACACACGUGUUACAAUGGUUACUACAGUGGGCUGCCAUCUGGCAACAGAGAGCAAAUCCAUAAAGGUAAUCCCAGUUCGGAUCGGAGUCUGCAACUCGACUCUGUGAAGUUGGAUUCGCUAGUAAUCGUAUAUCAGCAAUGAUACGGUGAAUACGUUCCCGGGCCUUGUACACACCGCCCGUCAAGCCAUGGAAGUUUGUGGUGCCUGAAGUCAGUAACCGUAAGGAUCUGCCUAGGGUAAAACAGAUAACUAGGGCUAAGUCGUAACAAGGUAGCCGUACCGGAAGGUGUGGCUGGAAUAUCUCUUUU
rnacentral:rRNA from 1 species